CAGCCGCCGCGGUAAUACAGAGGGUGCGAGCGUUAAUCGGAUUUACUGGGCGUAAAGCGUGCGUAGGCGGCUUUUUAAGUCGGAUGUGAAAUCCCUGAGCUUAACUUAGGAAUUGCAUUCGAUACUGGGAAGCUAGAGUAUGGAAGAGGUUAGUGGAAUUGCGAGUGUAGAGGUGAAAUUCGUAGAUAUUCGCAGGAACACCAGUGGCGAAGGCGGCUAACUGGUCCAUAACUGACGCUGAGGUGCGAAAGCGUGGGGAGCAAACAGGAUUAGAUACCCCCGUAGUCCCUGUCUCUUAUAC
rnacentral:rRNA from 1 species